CAACAGCCGCGGUAAUACAGAGGGUGCGAGCGUUAAUCGGAUUUACUGGGCGUAAAGCGUGCGUAGGCGGCUUCUUAAGUCGGAUGUGAAAUCCCUGAGCUUAACUUAGGAAUUGCAUUCGAUACUGGGAAGCUAGAGUAUGGGAGAGGAUGGUAGAAUUCCAGGUGUAGCGGUGAAAUGCGUAGAGAUCUGGAGGAAUACCGAUGGCGAAGGCAGCCAUCUGGCCUAAUACUGACGCUGAGGUACGAAAGCAUGGGGAGCAAACAGGAUUAGAUACCCCCGUAGUCCCUGUCUCUUAUAC
rnacentral:rRNA from 1 species